rnacentral:lncRNA from 1 species
AAAAACAAAAUCGGGGUAACAAACUAAAACCGAAGGAAACGCAUUAAAUAUAAGAGGAGAACAACGACACAACACUAAAAUGUAACACACACAGAAACGGACAAAGCAUCAGACAAAAUCCCACGAGAAUAACAAAUAUAACAUCAAAACCAAAUACAUGAAUUUGAGAUAGACAAGUACCGUGACACGUCUUAUCGCAGCGUGAAAUUACACUCAAAAAUAAGAGAAAACAAACGACGCAACGUUAAAAUGUAACACACACAGAAACGAACAAAAAUAUAACAAUGGCCAUAUUCCUGACUUGGUACAGGACAUUUUUAAAGGAAAAAAUGGUGGGUUGAACCUGGUUUUGUGGCAUGCCAAACCUCGCACUUUAAUGGCAAUGUUAAAUAUAACAUUGAAAUGACAACAUAAUAUUACAGGACUACAAUACAAAUAAAUAGGAGAACGUAUAAGACAAAGAAAC